rnacentral:rRNA from 1 species
GACGGAGGAUGCAAGCGUUAUCCGGAAUGAUUGGGCGUAAAGCGUCCGCAGGUGGCAGUUCAAGUCUGCUGUCAAAGACCGGGGCUUAACUUCGGAAAGGCAGUGGAAACUGAACAGCUAGAGUAUGGUAGGGGCAGAGGGAAUUCCUGGUGUAGCGGUGAAAUGCGUAGAGAUCAGGAAGAACAUCGGUGGCGAAGGCGCUCUGCUGGACCAUAACUGACACUGAGGGACGAAAGCUAGGGGAGCAAACGGG